ensembl:snoRNA
UCAAAAAGCAAUGCUUUGAGUUAAAGACAGCACCCCUUUUCUGUUAAUUAAACUUUUGGACAUUAAAACAGGCUAGGGCAGGUGGUCGCACAGAAAGCAUUACUCUUUUGGAUUAGCCACAGUAGCACAG